CUGGGUUUAAUACCAUAUACGCCCUUCGGGGGAAAGAAUUUCGGUGAGGGAUCGGCCCGCGUUAGAUUAGUUAGUUGGUGGGGUAAUGGCCUACCAAGACUACCAUCUAUAGCUGGUUUGAGAGGAUGAUCAGCAACACUGGGACUGAAACACGGCCCAGACGCCUACGGGAGGCAUCAGUGGGCAAUCUUAGACAAUGGGGGCCACCCUGACCUACCGAUGCCGCGUGAGUGAUGAAGGCCUUACGGUCCUAAAUCUCUUUCGCCUGNGAUGAUAGUGACAGUAACAGGUAAAGAAACCCCGGCUAACUCCGUGCCGCAGCCGCGGUAAUNCGGAGAUGUUAGCUUUGUUCUGAAUUACAGGGCGUAAGCGCGCGUAGGCNCAGUGCCAGGCAGAGGUCAAAUCCCAUNNCUCACCCC
rnacentral:rRNA from 1 species